rnacentral:lncRNA from 1 species
AUGGGGUGGGUGCUCUAUGGAGCUGGGCAAGAGCAAGUCGGGACCUUCCCUCUGAAUCUGAGAGAGACAUCAGAUUGCCUCUCUGUAACUCUGGUGUGUGUGUGUGUGUGUGUGUGUGCAUGUGAGGGGACAGUGGAGAUAUUUUUAUUUUUAUUUUUUGGUACUAGGGAUUGAACCCAGGGGCACUCAAUCCCUGGGCCACAUCCCCAGCCCUUUUUUAUAAUAAUAUUGUGAGAUAGUCUCACUAAAUUGCUUAGGGCCUUGCUAAGUUGCUGAGGCUGGCUUUGAACUUGUGAUCAUCCUGCCUCAGUCUCUUGAGCCACUGGGAUUCUACAGGUGUGUGUCACCAUGCUCGGCUGAGAGAGAUUUUUAAAGGAGUGCAGUACCCUCCUGAGUCAGCAUAUUAGCAGCAGAAAGGGUGGGAGAGCCCCCCAGAGGGCAGAUAUUUCAGAGGGGAGCCUAGGCUAUAAGACCCAGUCAUGAUUCCACACAGAGAAUGUUCCAUUAGAAUCCUUAGAGGGUGUACUGGAUUUAGCAAGGGUCCCCAAUUUUUCAUGUCCAUCCAGAGCCUCAAAAUAUGACCUUAUUUGUAAACAGGGUCUCCACAGAGAAGUUAGUUUUCUUAUGAUGAGGUCAUAUGGAUCACAGUGAAUCCUAAUUUUAUAACUGGUACCUUUUUAAAAAUUUUUAAUUUAAUUUAGUUUUUAAAUUUAUAUAUGACAGCAGAAUGCAUUAUAAUUCUUAUAACAUAUAUACAGCACAAUUUUUCAUAUCUCUGUAUACAUAGUCACACCAAUUCGUGUCUUCAUACAUGUACUUUGGAUAGUAAUGAUCAUCACAUUCCACCAUCAUUAAUAACCCCAUGCCCCUUCCCUUCGCUUCUCGUCCUUCUGCCUUAUCUAGUGUUGGUCUAUUCCUCCCAUGCUCCCCCUCCCUAUCCCACUAUGAAUCAGUCACCUUAUAUCAAAGAAAACAUUUGGCAUUUGGUUUUUUGGGAUUGGCUGACUUCACUUAGCAUUAUCUUCUCUAACCCCAUCCAUUUACCUGCAAAUGCCAUGAUUUUAUUCUCUUUUAUUGCUGAGUAAUAUUCCAUUGUGUGUAUAUGCCACAUUUUUUUUUAUCUGUUCACCUAAUGAUCUUUAUAGGAAAAUGGAAAUUUGGGAAGAGAAACAGAUACCUAGAGAAGGCCAUAUGAAGACAGAAAGAAGCAAGGACUGGAGUGAUACACAGGCCGAGGUUGGAGAGAUGUGCUGUAAACCAACAGCUGCUGAGGAUUGUUAACAACCCAAUCCUCAUAAACCAGGAAGAUGCAAGUGAGGAUUCUUCCCUGGAUCUUUCAAAGGGAGCAUGGCCUGGCUGUCAUCCUGAUUUGGGACUUCUAGCUUCCAGAACUAUGUGAAGAUAAUUUCUGUUGUUUUAGGUCACACGGAUACUAUGAUG